ensembl:lncRNA
AUGCAUCUAAAGCUGCGGAGUUUCUUUACAUCACUCAUGAAAACUAAAAUGUUUGGUUUGCUGAUUCUGCUCUUGCUUCUUCCAUUAGAUUCGGGAUUAAAGCAAUCACCUCAUCUCUUUGUAACUAAGGAUCUCAAUGUGACCAUAAAGUGUUCCCAGAUUGGAACAUCAGACAACAUCAUGUACUGGUUCAGAAAAACACCCACUGAGCCGAUGGAGCAGAUAGUGUAUUUCUUUGUUAAAUCAGAAACCUGGGAGAAGAAUUUUCAGCAGAGAGCAUCUGCCGUGAGGAACGGGGCAUCUAUAGACCCGACUCUUGUCAAAGUACAGAGCUCUGACAGUGGUGUUUAUUACUGUGCAAAGCAGGAUGCACAUCAGUGUAACCCAAUCUAUAACCUCAACAAAAACAUGCAGUCCUGCUGCUGCAGAUUCACAUCUAACACCUGCUCAUCUGCUGUCAAUCAAUGGAAUUCAUUACUAUAGGGAUGUGUAGAUAAAGUGUUUAUAUGUUUUAUUAUUAUUAUUAUUAUUAUUAUUAUUAUUAUUUUAGUUUACAUACACAAUUUGUCAAAUAUAUUUUUAAUUCACUGAACCUUUUUUAAUUAAAUGUACUAGUUCAAUUUACCGCAAAUUAAAUGUUAAAUUUAAUGCAAGUAUUUUAAUAUUUUCUGAAUUAUCUCAAAAUUGUGAGGUGAUUACCUCUUGAAUCUCUAUGUNAAAUGUUAAUAAUUCAGGUUUGAUAAUGUUAUAAUAGUUUUUUUUAUAUUCUAACCUAUAUGACAUUCUUCUAUUGAACACAAAAGGGUAAAAAAGUCUUUGUUAUGGCAACCUAUUCCCCCAUUCAGUUACAAUGAGUUUCUUAGAAGUGGUCCUUAUUACUAUUUUCCAAGUCUUCUGAAACCAUCAGAGUGAUAUUACAUAAUUGUAUUUUUUUAAUUGUAUUUUUUUAAUUACUUUUUAAAAUUUUAAUUCUUAUCUAAAACAAACAAACAAAAAAACAAACAAACAAACAAACAAACAAACAAACAUACAAACAAACAACAACAACAACAACAACAACAACAUAAAAAACAAGUCAUUCAUUUUAUAGUUCGAAAUGUGAACAACAGAGGGCAGUGUUAUAACUGCUUACACUUUAGAUUUGAACCCAAUAUGACAUCUUUUGUACAAGAUGGAAACAUUUCUUAUAUCUCAUACAGAAUCUCAUUCACCAGGCACUGGCAUGUAAUAGCACACAUCACUCUGUUCUUAAAGCUGAUUAACGUGACUCAACAUGUGUCAACUUAUUAUUAAAUUAAUUUUUGCAACCUCUGUUUGUUCUCCACUUUGGAUUCAGGGUAUGUAUUUUUUGUUGAUGUUAUUAUUAUUAUAUUAAAAUAUAUUACAUUUUCCCAAUAUUAGCUACAGUAAACUACAGUACAUUCCAAACCCAAUCUNACAGUGCCACACAUCUGGUGUAUCACCUCUACAAAAACCCGCUGUG